rnacentral:rRNA from 2 species
AGACGUGCCGGGUGCUAUACAUGCAGUCGAACGAGUUCUCGUUGAUGAUCGGUGCUUGCACCGAGAUUCAACAUGGAACGAGUGGCGGACGGGUGAGUAACACGUGGGUAACCUGCCCUUAAGUGGGGGAUAACAUUUGGAAACAGAUGCUAAUACCGCAUAGAUCCAAGAACCGCAUGGUUCUUGGCUGAAAGAUGGCGUAAGCUAUCGCUUUUGGAUGGACCCGCGGCGUAUUAGCUAGUUGGUGAGGUAAUGGCUCACCAAGGCGAUGAUACGUAGCCGAACUGAGAGGUUGAUCGGCCACAUUGGGACUGAGACACGGCCCCAAACUCCUACGGGAGGCAGCAGUAGGGAAUCUUCCACCAUGGACGCCAAGUCUGAUGGAGCAACGCCGCGGUGAGUUGAGAAGGCUUUCGGGUCGUAAAACUCUGUUGUUGGAGAAGAAUGGUCGGCAGAGUAACUGUUGUCGGCGUGACGGUAUCCAACCAGAAAGGCCACGGCUAACUACGUGCCAGCAGCCGCGGUAAUACGUAGGUGGCAAGCGUUAUCCGGAUUUAUUGGGCGUAAAGCGAGCGCAGGCGGUUUUUUAAGUCUGAUGUGAAAGCCCUCGGCUUAACCGAGGAAGCGCAUCGGAAACUGGGAAACUUGAGUGCAGAAGAGGACAGUGGAACUCCAUGUGUAGCGGUGAAAUGCGUAGAUAUAUGGAAGAACACCAGUGGCGAAGGCGGCUGUCUGGUCUGUAACUGACGCUGAGGCUCGAAAGCAUGGGUAGCGAACAGGAUUAGAUACCCUGGUAGUCCAUGCCGUAAACGAUGAAUGCUAGGUGUUGGAGGGUUUCCGCCCUUCAGUGCCGCAGCUAACGCAUUAAGCAUUCCGCCUGGGGAGUACGACCGCAAGGUUGAAACUCAAAGGAAUUGACGGGGGCCCGCACAAGCGGUGGAGCAUGUGGUUUAAUUCGAAGCAACGCGAAGAACCUUACCAGGUCUUGACAUCUUUUGAUCACCUGAGAGAUCAGGUUUCCCCUUCGGGGGCAAAAUGACAGGUGGUGCAUGGUUGUCGUCAGCUCGUGUCGUGAGAUGUUGGGUUAAGUCCCGCAACGAGCGCAACCCUUAUGACUAGUUGCCAGCAUUUAGUUGGGCACUCUAGUAAGACUGCCGGUGACAAACCGGAGGAAGGUGGGGAUGACGUCAAAUCAUCAUGCCCCUUAUGACCUGGGCUACACACGUGCUACAAUGGAUGGUACAACGAGUUGCGAGACCGCGAGGUCAAGCUAAUCUCUUAAAGCCAUUCUCAGUUCGGACUGUAGGCUGCAACUCGCCUACACGAAGUCGGAAUCGCUAGUAAUCGCGGAUCAGCACGCCGCGGUGAAUACGUUCCCGGGCCUUGUACACACCGCCCGUCACACCAUGAGAGUUUGUAACACCCGAAGCCGGUGGCGUAACCCUUUUAGGGAGCGAGCCGUCUAAGGUGGGACAAAUGAUUAGGGUGAAGUCGUAACAAGUAGCCGUGAUCCC